rnacentral:rRNA from 1 species
AGGGUUUGAUCAUGGCUCAGGAUGAACGCUGGCGGCGUGCUUAACACAUGCAAGUCGAACGAACCUUCGGGUUAGUGGCGGACGGGUGAGUAACGCGUGAGAAUCUGCCCUCAGGAGGGGGAUAACGGUUGGAAACGACCGCUAAUACCCCAUAUGCCUACUGGUGAAAUGAAUUUCGCCUGAUGAUGAGCUCGCGUCUGAUUAGCUAGUUGGUGAGGUAAUGGCUCACCAAGGCUUCCAUCAGUAUCUGGUCUGAGAGGAUGAUCAGCCACACUGGGACUGAAACACGGGCCAGACUCCUACAGGAGGCAGCAGGGGGGAAUUUUCCGCAAUGGGCGAAAGCCUGACGGAGCAACGCCGCGUGAGGGACGAAGGCCUCUGGGCUGUAAACCUCUUUUCUCAAGGAAGAAGAUAUGACGGUACUUGAGGAAUAAGCCACGGAUAAUUCCGUGCCAGCCGCCGCGGUAAUUC